rnacentral:rRNA from 1 species
UACGGGGGGGCAAGCGUUGUUCGGAAUUACUGGGCGUAAAGGGCUCGUAGGCGGCCAACUAAGUCAGACGUGAAAUCCCCAGGCUCAACCUGGGAACUGCGUCUGAUACUGGAUGGCUUGAAUCCGGGAGAGGGAUGCAGAAUUCCAGGUGUAGCGGUGAAAUGCGUAGAUAUCGGCAGGAACACCCAGGGGGAAACCAGUCGACUGGGCAUCUACUGACGCUGAGGUGCGAGAGCGUGGGGAGCGAACCGG